UACGUAGGGUGCGAGCGUUGUCCGGAAUCAUUGGGCGUAAAGAGCGCGUAGGCGGCCCUGUAAGUCCGUUCUGAAAGUCGGAGGCUCAACCUCCGAAAGCGGAUGGAUACUGCAGGGCUAGAGUCCGGAAGAGGCGAGUGGAAUUCCUGGUGUAGCGGUGGAAUGCGCAGAUAUCAGGAGGAACACCAACGGCGAAGGCAGCUCGCUGGGACGGUACUGACGCUGAGGCGCGAAAGCGUGGGGAGCGAACAGG
rnacentral:rRNA from 1 species